rnacentral:rRNA from 1 species
GUCCACGCCGUAAACGAUGGGUACUAGGUGUUGCGGGUAUUGACCCCUGCAGUGCCGAAGCUAACGCAUUAAGUACCCCGCCUGGGGAGUACGGUCGCAAGACUAAAACUCAAAGGAAUUGACGGGGGCCCGCACAAGCGGUGGAGCAUGUGGUUUAAUUCGACGCAACGCGAAGAACCUUACCUGGGUUUGACAUCCCGAUCGUACCUGCUGGAAACAGCGGGGUCAGUUCGGCUGGAUCGGAGACAGGUGCUGCAUGGCUGUCGU